rnacentral:rRNA from 1 species
CCUACGGGAGGCAGCAGUGAGGAAUAUUGGUCAAUGGUCGGGAGACUGAACCAGCCAAGCCGCGUGAGGGAGGAAGGUACAGAGUAUCGUAAACCUCUUUUGUCAGGGAACAAAGACUGGGACGCGUCCCCGGAUGAGUGUACCUGAAGAAAAAGCAUCGGCUAACUCCGUGCCAGCAGCCGCGGUAAUACGGAGGAUGCGAGCGUUAUCCGGAUUUAUUGGGUUUAAAGGGUGCGGAGGCGGUUCGUUAAGUCAGCGGGCAAAGCCCGGGGCUCAAACCCGGCCCGGCGGUUGAUACUGGCAGUCUAGAGUUGGAGAGAGGUAUGCGGAAUGCGCGGUGUAGCGGUGAAAUGCAUAGAUAUGACGAAGAACCCCGAUUGCGAAGGCAGCUUGCUGAAGCGGAACUGACGCUGAUGCUCGAAAGCGCGGGUAUCGAACAGGAUUAGAUACCCCUGUAGUC